rfam:Candidatus Lloydbacteria bacterium RIFCSPLOWO2_12_FTLL_51_9 rifcsplowo2_12_scaffold_27747, whole genome shotgun sequence.
GCCCGGGUAGUUCAGUGGCAGAACGGCUCCAUGGUAAGGAGUAGACGGAAGUUCAAUUCUCCCCCCGGGCU